rnacentral:rRNA from 1 species
GUGUCAGCAGCCGCGGUAAUACGUAGGGCGCGAGCGUUGUCCGGAAUUAUUGGGCGUAAAGAGCUCGUAGGUGGCUUGUCGCGUCUGCCGUGAAAGCCCGUGGCUUAACUACGGGUCUGCGGUGGAUACGGGCAGGCUAGAGGCUGGUAGGGGCAAGCGGAAUUCCUGGUGUAGCGGUGAAAUGCGCAGAUAUCAGGAGGAACACCGGUGGCGAAGGCGGCUUGCUGGGCCAGUUCUGACGCUGAGGAGCGAAAGCGUGGGGAGCGAACAGGAUUAGAUACCCCAGUAGUCC